rnacentral:rRNA from 1 species
UACGUAGGGGGCAAGCGUUGUCCGGAUUUAUUGGGCGUAAAGAGCGUGUAGGCGGCUUUACAGGUCCGUUGUGAAAACUCGAGGCUCAACCUCGAGACGCCGGUGGAAACCGUAAAGCUAGAGUCCGGAAGAGGAGAGUGGAAUUCCUGGUGUAGCGGUGAAAUGCGCAGGAUAAUCAGGAGGAACACCCGUGCGAAAGCGGCUCUCGUGGGACGGUACUGACGCUGAGGAGCGAAAGCGUGGGGAGCGAACAGG